rnacentral:tRNA from 1 species
GCCUCUAUAGCUCAGUCCGGCCAGAGCAGCGAGCUUUUACCUCGCGGGUCUUCGGUUCAAAUCCGAAUGGGGGCACC